rnacentral:lncRNA from 1 species
GGAAGAGGCAAAGGAAGGCAUCACAAUGCUCUUUUAUUAGCUGGGACUUUGACUUCAAACCUCAAUGUAGAAUUGCACCAUUUAGGCUGGUCUCACUGGACGGCUGAUUUGCUUUCCAGAGAUGAAAGCCUAAAUCAGUUAAUCUAUUUUCCUUUAUCUCAUGCAAGUCUUGGUUCUUACAUUGAUGGCAAAGAAAAGAAGAUACAAAGGAAAAGGAGUGAGAGAGGUGAAAAAUUAGAGAAUGUUUGAAUCCUCAGGUCUGUUCAGGCAAUGUGGAAAGAGAAAAGGUGAUCAAAGGGAAACACCAUGUUCAAGAUGAUGUUUAAGAUAGCUGAGAUGCUUCCAUUUCUUCUUCUACCCUUGCUUCUGGAUCUGAAGAAUUGUGUGACCUAAUUUGAACCUAAUCCUGUCUACGGAAUCCCUUGGCUAAUAAUUAGGGAUGGUUUGAAUUCAAUUGGGCUAUCGAGUCAACUAAAUGCAGAAGUUAGAACCCAUUAUUUUGAAAGAUACUGCCAUUUAUAACUUCUAGCCACAGAAUUCUACAACAGGUUUUGUUCAUUAGCGUAAUUAUCCAAGGUGAUUCAAAGUCAUUUCCACUAUAGUCAUUCCUGAGCCAUCUUGAGAGGGCGAUCACUGCGGCAGAGGAAUCCAAAGAAACUGACCCUUACCUUGAAGUGAAAACCUGAGGAUGCGAAUCCACGUCUCUGGGGUCGAAAAGGUCACAAACAGAAAACCUGCUGCACUUCUGAGUCUUCACAGAUUUCAGUGAUUUGGUCCAAAUCCAGAAACCAUCUUGAGACAAUAAAAAGGCUGCUGAAUGGGAACCAAGCAGGACGGCUCAACUCUCACCGAGGUUCUCACACACAGUGACAGCUACCAGCGUCCAAAGUGCUGACAUUACGACUUAGAGAUGUGAUAAAGAGCAACAUGUACUGCAUUUUCUAUUGAACAGGUCUUUCCUUUGGAUCCCGUAGCUCUUUGUUCCUCUCCCUGCUACAGGAUGCUGCAUAAAGCAGAAUUGAAUAGCUGCGACAGAGACUGCAAAGCAGAACAGAUUUACUACCCAGCCACUUACAGGAACAACUUGCUCUCUGGCACUGUGGAUAUGCUUGAUGUGUGGAGUCAGACUCCUGAGAUCAAAUUCUGGUUCCCCUCCGAGUCCGGUGAAGUUGCUCAAGCUCUAUGCAGUGUUGUGCUGGAGUCAGCCGGAGCUGACUGUGUGCAUCUUUCACCAACUCCACCUUCAUGGAUCAUGUUAGAAGCUCAAAAUCAACAUUGGAAGGAAUAUUUACACCAGGAAAACUGGCAAAUGCUACACAUCAGGACUUCCCUAGAGACGUGGCAAUUAAAGAUUUGCUGCCUUCAUAGAUGUUAGAUUUGUCUUCUUCAAAAUGAUGUGAUAGAUGCCGUUCGUGCCUCAUUCCAUGUCAUCUUUAACCACCACUGCAUCCAGCACCAGCUGCUGCAGCUCACAGCUUCUACUUGUGGCCUCCUCAGGGGCAGUCAAUGUCUUGUUGGUAUAGGGGGUCUGAAGUCUGGCUCCCGUGCACCAUUCUGUGGUGCAAUUUGUGCUCCAGAACGCCACUCCUGCCAUGGAUGAGACCACGGCUAGACUAUGCCUGGGACCACAUUCUCCUUCGACUCUUUUGCCAUCACUAUCCUGCUUCACUGCUUUCAUUACAGAUGUGGAAACUGAAGCAAAGAAGUCAAUAACUUGCUCAAGAUCUCAUUGGCUGUCAACUGUUGGAGCUAAGAUUCAAUAUAGCCAGUUUGGCUCCAGAGUCUGUGUGUUUAGUCAUUAACUCUUGGUUUGUAAAGCAGCUGGCCGGGUGAGCACCCAGUAAAGGAGCUGAAGUAAUCCUCAUUGCCAUCUCCUUGGCUAUCGGCAAGUCCAGGACCCUGAAGGCCUUUGCUGAUCUCUGGAACUACUCAGGGACACAAGACUUACUGGAAGAAGAAGCAUUUGCUUUUACUAAAGAGCUCAGGAUUAUGAUUAUUUGCCAGAAUUGGUGUCUUGAAAGGCUUUUAUUGUUUGCCAUUUGGUUUUCAUUCCGAAGCCACAUGCGACUGUAACAUAAACACUUGUGGAGGGAUAUCAUUACUCUGAAGCUUAAAGUUUACAUGUCAGCUCCCUGUCUUACAGCAAAUGCUGCAGGUCAUUUCUCUUCCUGUGUGAGCCAAGAUGAGAACUCUGGAAAGACAUUCUCAUCCACAGAUUUUACAUCACCUACAGCCGUGACCUUAGCAACUGAGGGAAGAGCUGAAGCUGUCUUGCCCCACCUGCUCCCACCUUAUAGUCACCAAAUAUUGCCAUUCCCCUGCCUCCAAAGACAGGACCAGGACCUUCAAUCAAGAGCUGUCCUCCCGUGACUGCUAGGUUUCCUUGGCUGCUGCUUGGUGUUCAGGGUGUCACAGAAUAAAUCUGCUUCAGUGCAAUGGAGACAAAUACUCUUCUUGCUGCCUUCUUUCUCAAAACCUUUCCCUGGCUAACUGCUACAUGCCCCUCAGGUCUUAGUUCUACAUGUCAUUUUAGAGUAAAACUAAAUACAAUCUCCCUUCACUAAAUAAAUCAGUCCUCCUAUUCAGAAUUGUCAUCUCA